rnacentral:tRNA from 1 species
GAUUAUAUAGUUUAUAAAAAAUGUUACAUUGAAGAUGUAAAGAAGAUUAAUGAUCA